rnacentral:rRNA from 1 species
GUGGAUUAGAUACCCUAGUAGUCCUGGCCGUAAACGAUGUCGACUAGAUCGUAGCUGCUCUGACGUAGUUAUGGUCGAAGCAAAAGUGCUAAGUUGACCGCCUGGGAAGUACGGUCGCAAGGCUAAAACUCAAAGGAAUUGACGGGGGCUCACACAAGCGGUGGAGCAUGUGGUUUAAUUCGAAGCAACGCGCAGAACCUUACCUGGGCUUGACAUGCUAGGAUUAUCUCUAUGAAAGUAGAGUAGGCCCUUCGGGGUACAACUAGUACAGGUGCUGCACGGCCGUCGUCAACU